GAUGAACGCUAGCGGCAGGCUUAAUACAUGCAAGUCGAGGGGCAGCGCAGUGUAGCAAUACAUGGGCGGCGACCGGCAAACGGGUGCGGAACACAUACGCAAUCUACCCAAAACUGAUGAAUAGCCCUCCGAAAGGAGGAUUAAUACAUCGUAACCUAUUAGAGUAGCAUUACUUUAGUAGUAUAGCUCCGGCGGUUUUGGAUGAGCGUGCGCCUGAUUAGGUAGUUGGCGGGGUAACGGCCUACCAUGACGAUGAUCAGUAGGGGGCGUCAGAGCGUGGUCCCCCACACUGGCACUGAGAUACGGGCCAGACUCCUACGGGAGGCAGCAGUGGGGAAUAUUGCACAAUGGGCGCAAGCCUGAUGCAGCAACGCCGCGUGAGGGAUGAAGGCCUCGGUUGUAAACCUCUUUAUUCAGGGAAGAAGCGAAAGUGACGGUACCUGAAGAAAAGCACCGGCUAACUACGUAGCCAGCA
rnacentral:rRNA from 1 species